AGCCUUUCUGAUGAUUCUGGGCUUCCUAGAAUCUGGACUUCCUUUAGUUGGUGGUUAUAAGGAAAAUAAUAUUAUUUGAUGUUAUUUGAAGGGGGUAUACAUAUGGGAGAUGAGUUAUCGUUUCUUGUAAGUCUAUAUAAAUACACCUAUACUUAUGGGAACGUAAACAUGGGCACUCCUCAUGAGUUUCAGCCGUUGAGCCAUUGGACAUUUACUGAACUGUUAUUAUGUGCCAAGUGCUAUGCAUGUGCUUGGAUUCAGAGAUGAGAUGCAUAAUCCUGGUCUUUUAAGAGCUCAGGGUUUGAUGGGGGGAGAUAAACAAGUAGAUAAUUAUGCUACAGAAUAAGUGCUAUGCCAGAGGUAAACCUAGGGUCUUUCAAAAGGGCCUGUUCUCACUUGCUUCCUCUCAGCUUAUCCUCCAGACUCUGUUUAAAAGUUGUAAGAGAUCUUAGUGAGGCCUGGAGAAAAGAAGCAGUUUGCCUAAGGUCUUACCCAUGGCUGGUCAGCAGUAAAGCUGGAACUGAAAUCUGAGUUGUCAUGCUCGCUGUCUCUUUCACAUGUGCUCUUACCUCCACCAGCACUGACCUGGACUUUUCCUGCCUUGCCCUGGAUCCUUACUCUUUUCAAAGAGGUGCUCUCCCUGCUCCACCAUCUUUUCCAGCUUCCGUUCUUAUUGCCUUGUCACAGUUAGUGUUGCAGUGAAGUAGGAAGACCUGGGAGCCUGCGGUUUGAGCUUGUUGAGGGAGAAGAAUGGUUCUUAGCAUUGGCUGCACGUUAGAAUUGCUUACAGAGCUUUUAUAGAAUACUAAUAGCUGAGAUUCUGAUUUUUACUCCCAUGUUUAUUUGUUUGUUAUUGAGUUACAUCUGCAGUAAAAUACCCCAAUUUUUAAGUAAAAUACCCGGUGAAUGUUUGUAUAUGUGUACAGUUGUGUACAGAUUACUCACAUCAAGAUACGCAUCAGAUCAAGAUACAGAACUCCAGAGGGCUCCCUCAUGCUUCUUCCUCGUCAGUACUGGCUGCCCAAGUAACCACUUCUUCUGACUUCUGUCUCCACUGAUGGGUUUUGUCUAUUCUUGAGUUUCAUACAAAUGGAAUCACACACUGUGCACCAUUUUGGGUCUGGCUUUUUUUUGCUCAAUAUCAUAUCUGGAUAUUCAUCCAUGUUGCCUACAGCGGUAUGUAGUAUUUCAUUGUUUGGAUGCACCACAAUUAUUUGUUGAUUCUACUGUUGAUGGACCUUUGGGGUCUCACCAGUUUUAGCCAUAUGACAAAGCUGCCAUGCACGUUCUUAUUAAUCUUGUCUGUUUUGGGGGGCGUGUGCACUCGUUUCUCUUGGGUGUGUACCUAGGAGUAAGAUUGCCGGGCCGUGUGUCUCGCUUUGGUAGACAUUGCUAAACAGUUGUGUGGUUGUGCUAGAUGUUAGCAUUAAAAAUUGUUUUUAUUAAAAAUUUCAAGCAUUCACAAAAGUAAGGAGUCUAAUAUAGCAAACCUACAUAUGUCUAGAUUCAGUAAUUUUCAAGAUUUUGCUACGUUUGCUUCAUUCCUUUUUUUUUGUUUGUUGAAGAAUCUUAAAGCAAACCCCAGAUAUUAUGUCAUUUUACCCCUACAUACUUCCACAUGCGUCUUUAUAUAUGGACAUUUUCUCACAUAACCGUAAUGCCAUUAUCAAAUUUAAUGAAAUUAACAAAUCCUUAAUAGUGUCUAAUUCCUAGGUCAUAAUCAAAUUUCCUUGACUGUCUUAAAAAUGUCUUUGCAGUCAGUGAGUUAGAAUAAGAAUCUGACCGUAGUCCACACAGUACAUUAAGUCGUCAUGUUUCUUGUUUCUUUCUAUCUGGAACAGUCCCUCUGCCCCUUUUUCACAUCAUUAACUCAUUAUAGAAAUUGGGUCAGUUGUCAGAUAGUAGUGACAGUCCUGAAAGCUCCCCAGGUUUUUCUGGUAUUUCGCCAGGGUUGAAAACCCCUGAGAUAGAGUGUCUGUCUUCCGACUAUUCUUAGAAGAGGGUGAAGGAUGGGGAUAGAGUGUAAAUGUUGGGUGGGUGGUCGAAGCUGUCGUGACAGGUGAGAGUGUGGACGUCUUGUGCAGUAGGAGUGGGAUGUGGCUCUAGCAGCGGCGGACGCCCAGGGGAGAGUGUGGGGACUAGCGUGACUCUUCUUGUUCAGUAGGAACUUCAGAGGUUGGUUCUCUAACCCAACAGUCAGAGACUCUGACGCGACAAAGCAGAUAGGAUUUCUUCCCUGCUGAAGUUUUUUUCUUGGAGAACGGUAGACCAUGAGAUUUUUUUAAAUUUGCUGAGCGAAAUUGGAAAAUAGGUCAUUCGUAGCAAUUGAGAUACUUGAGGCUCAAUGAAAGAAAACUUAAAGGGGUUAGAAGUUAAGUCUGUACACGGCACAGGGAGGAAGUGCUGACACACCCCGCAGGCGGGAGGCUGCUGUGUCCUAGAGCAGGCCUCCAGAAAGCGCAACAGGUGAUGGUGUUCUGCUCUAGGAAGCCGGGGCUGAUGCCUCCUAGUUUGUGCCCAGCGCCUUCUAGUAACUAGCCACCGUAUCACUCCUUUCUCUUUACCUGCUAGGGCCAAAUUGUCCCAAUAAUCUUAUUUUCAGUAACUCAUCAGGUGUAAGUGCUCAACAGAGAUUUAUGGGAAAGCGGUAAUGCUGGUCACCAGCAGGGACUGAAGUGGUAUAUCCAGGUCAGGAAACCUGGGGAGGUCAGGGCAGCUGUCGCCUGGCUUUGGGGUACUGGGGGAGCACAGGUUGUCAGAACUAGAAGGGCCCUUGGGUUCUAGGAUUUUACCCACCCAUCUCCCCUUUCCAAGGCUUUCUGUUAUAGAGAAUUGCAAACUUACACCACACAGGAAACUUCAUGAUGAACUUCCAGGCCCCCACCCCCAGUUUCACCAGUGAUGAAGUCACGGUCAAUCUUGUUUCAUCUAUACGCUCAUCCACUUAACCCUAUCCUGUAAUAUUCUGAAGGAAAUUCAAGACACCAUGUCAUUUCGCCUGUAAACAUUUCAGUAUGUGUCUUUAAAAGUUAAGGACUUUUUUAAAUAAAAAAAACCACCCACAAUUUUAAUAUCACAUCCAAAAAUAAAAAAGAAUUCUUUAAUACCAUCAAAUACCCAGUCAUCCAGAUUUCACUUUUCUCAUCAAUGUAAUGAUGCUGUUUUGUUUUGUUUUUUACAGUUUGUUUGAAUCAGUGUCUAAUUAAGGUCCAUGUGCUGUGAUUGGUCAGUAGGUCUUUUAAGAAUUUUUUCAUCCAUAGGUUCUCUCUCCACCCUCCCCUUUUUAGUGUACAGGGUAUCUUAGUCACAUGUUGCCGCAUAACGAAAGUUAGCAGCAUAAAGCAAUCUACACUUAUUACAGCACGGUUUCUCUUGGUUCGGAACCUGGACAUGGCUUGGCUGGGUCCCCUGCCUCAGGGUCUCAGGCAAGGCAUCAGCCAGGGCUGCAGCCCUCUCAGGGUGAGCCUGGGGAAGGACCGGCUUCCCAGUUCACUCAGCGGUUGUUGGCGGGAUUCAGGUGCUCGUGGGCAGGUGGACGGAGGGCCUCAGUUCCUUGUUGGUUGGUGGAUGGAGGGCACCCUCAGCUCCUUGCCACGUGGGCCUCUCCAGCACGGCAGCUAGCUUUGUCAAAGCAAGCAAGACGCGGCAAGAGAGAAUGCCAGCAGGAAAGAACUCAGUCUUUUUAAUCAGAAUCUCAGAAGUGACAUCUUGUAACUUUUGGCAUAAUCUCUUCAUCAGAAGCAAGUUAUUAGGUCCAGCCCACACUCAAGGGGAGGAGCCCACAUGGAACCUGGACACUAGGAGGUGGGGAUCACGGGAACCAUUUUAGAAGACUACCCACCUUGGAGAGAUGAACUCUAGAGACCAGGUCCUCUGGCUAUCAGUCUAUUUGCCUUUUUACCACAUUAUUGAUGCCACUGGGGAGAAAAAGGCUGGCCAACCCCUGCAUUUCAUUUGCCUCUAUCUGUGUAGUAAUUCACUUGUGUAAUUUCCUUCUGUGACGCUCUGAUAAAUGUCAUGUUUGUAUAUGUCAGUAACCAGAGCCCGCAGUUAAGAAUCCUAGGUAGGCCAGGCUGACUGCUCUGAGCUUUUUCAUCUUGAUCAAGAAAUGAACCAGUCACCAGUCCUUAAGAAAAUAUUGACUGUGUAUUUCCCACUGUGCCAGGCCUCUGGAGGUACAAAAGGAGUAGAAAGGAAUAAGAAGAUAGUCUAUAAUUAUUGUGUGGUAUGGACGAUAAGUGCAAAAAAUUAGAAAUUAGCAUUGAGUCAUUUCAGCCAAUACUUUUGAGUACUUUCUAUGUGUAAAGCUCCGUGUUAAGUGCUGUGGGGAGGAUAAGACUCAGUAACGACAAGCUUCUGCUCCCUCCUUAGGAGGAUGGAAGAUAAAGCUAUAAUGCAAAGUAGACUGGAAAUCGCUCAGGUGGAGAUACACACAAAGUACUUUGGGAGCACAGGAUGGAGAAGCUUAGGAUGUCAGAGCCAAAAAAAGGCCCUUAGAGGUCAUCAGGACUACUGGUCUUUACCAUUUUGGGGACACGGAGCCAUUUGGUCAGAGGGGUUCAAGAAACCUCUUUGCUAAGAUAAGGGAAUCAAGUGAAAUUAGACAGAAUAUGAAUUUUUCCACUGCCGGGGACAGGCGGACUUGAGUUGGAGUUAGUAGCCUUGGAUCCUAGACUCGAGUUCUCCAGCACCGAGGACCUUCUCAGUAAAACUGGCACCUAACCUGGCCAAAGAUGAGGGAACUUCUACCCAGAGAAUUAUGAUAAUUCUGCGAGGGUCCCAGGACUGGUAAAUCAGAGAGACGAGACUAGGACGCAGGAUUCCGCCGCCCAUGGUCCUGCCCAGGACGUGUGUGCGUGUGAGUGAAUGCUGUUUUGUUUUGUUUGUUUUUAGCACUGAAGACGUUGACUGGAGACUUGCUGGCAAGCACAACUUACGAAAGGAACAAGGGAAAGAGACGCAGCCAUAGCUACAAGAAGCACCUGGGACGGGGGAGGCGCAGCGAACUGGCGGGGAGCCCGAGUCUUUCUUGUCACUCAGGGUCCUCCCUGCCCUCUCGGCCGCUGCCUGGUUACACGCCUGCCCCCAACUUCCCCCCUCUCGCAUUAGGGCUGCUUUCAAAUGACUUCUGCUGGAACUGGGCAAGUUAAUUUCUCAAGCUUCCUUUCCCAAGGGCUUCCUGGUGCACUUAGAGGGGAAGAGACACUCAACAU
ensembl:lncRNA